CCUACGGGUGGCUGCAGUAGGGAAUAUUGCACAAUGGACGAAAGUCUGAUGCAGCGACGCCGCGUGAGUGAUGAAGGCCUUCGGGUUGUAAAACUCUGUGAUAAGGGAAGAUGAUGACGGUACCUUAUCAGAAAAGACCGGCUAACUUCGUGCCAGCAGCCGCGGUAAUACGAGGGGUCUAAGCGUUGUUCGGAAUCACUGGGCGUAAAGCGGGUGUAGGUGGCUAUGCAAGUUAGAUGUGAAAGCCCCGGGCUCAACCCGGGAAGUGCAUCUAA
rnacentral:rRNA from 1 species